GGCAGGAGACUCACUUGAGCCCAGGAGUUGGAGGUUGCUGUGAGCUGUGAUGCCAUGGCACUCUACCCAGGGGGACAGCUUGAGGCUCUGUCUCAAAAAAAAAAGAAUUAAAAAUUGCACAAUAAGCAUUCUUUUUCUUGAGACAGAGUGUCACUAUGUCGCCCUGGGUUGAGUGCUAUGGUGUCACAGCUCACAGCAACCUCAAACUCUUGGUCUUAAGCAAUUCUCUUGCCUCAGCCUCCCAAGUAGCUGGGACUACAGGUGACUGCCACAGCACCCAGC
rnacentral:sRNA from 1 species